rnacentral:rRNA from 1 species
UACAGAGGUCUCAAGCGUUGUUCGGAUUCAUUGGGCGUAAAGGGUGCGUAGGCGGCGCGGUAAGUCGGGUGUGAAAUCUUGGAGCUUAACUCCGAAACUGCAUUCGAUACUGCCGUGCUUGAGGACUGGAGAGGAGACUGGAAUUUACGGUGUAGCGGUGAAAUGCGUAGAUAUCGUAACGAAGACCAGUGGCGAAGGCGGGUCUCUGGACAGUUCCUGACGCUGAGGCACGAAGGCCAGGGGAGCAAACGGG